rnacentral:rRNA from 1 species
UAAUACGUAGGCAGCGAGCGUUGUUCGGAAUUACUGGGCGUAAAGAGUGUGUAGGCGGUGAUCUAAGUUCGGUGUGAAAUCUCCCGGCUCAACUGGGAGGGUGCGCCGGAAACUGGAUGACUGGAGCGUGGGAGAGGAAAGCGGAAUUCCUGGUGUAGCGGUGAAAUGCGUAGAUAUCAGGAGGAACACCUGUGGUGUAGACAGCUUUCUGGACCAUAGCUGACGCUGAGACACGAAAGCGUGGGUAGCAAACAGGAUUAGAUACCCUGGUAGUCCACGCCUUAAACGAUGCAUACUUGGUGUCGGUCAUUCAGUUGGCCGGUGCCGGAGCUAACGCGUUAAGUAUGCCGCCUGGGGAGUACGGUCGCAAGGCUG